GAUGAACGCUAGCGGCAGGCUUAAUACAUGCAAGUCGAGGGGCAGCAGGGGUAGCAAUACUCGCUGGCGACCGGCAAACGGGUGCGGAACACGUACGCAACCUUCCCAUAACUGGUGAAUAGCCUUCCGAAAGGGAGAUUAAUACACCGUAACAUAAUGAAGUGGCAUCACUUUAUUAUUAUAGCUCCGGCGGUUAUGGAUGGGCGUGCGCCUGAUUAGGUAGUUGGUAGGGUAACGGCCUACCAAGCCUUCGAUCAGUAACUGGUGUGAGAGCACGACCAGUCACACGGGCACUGAGACACGGGCCCGACUCCUACGGGAGGCAGCAGUAAGGAAUAUUGGUCAAUGGACGCAAGUCUGAACCAGCCAUGCCGCGUGAAGGAUGAAGGCCCUCUGGGUUGUAAACUUCUUUCAUCUGGGACGAAAAUAGGCUUUCCAGCUUACUUGACGGUACCAGAGGAAUAAGCACCGGCUAACUCCGUGCCAGCAGCCGCGGUAAAACGU
rnacentral:rRNA from 1 species